rnacentral:rRNA from 1 species
UACGGGGGGGGGCAAGCGUUGUUCGGAAUUACUGGGCGUAAAGGGCGCGUAGGCGGCCUGCUAAGUCACACGUGAAAUCCCUCGGCUCAACCGGGGAACUGCGUGUGAUACUGGCGGGCUUGAAUUCGGGAGAGGGAUGUGGAAUUCCAGGUGAGCGGUGAAAUGCGUAGAUAUCUGGAGGAACACCGGUGGCGAAGGCGGCAUCCUGGACCGAGAUUGACGCUGAGGCGCGAAAGCUAGGGGAGCAAACGGGG